rnacentral:lncRNA from 1 species
CACCAUCACCACCAUCACCACCGACACCAUCACGAUCCUAGUCGUGCUCCUGGUAUUUCACCUGCACCAUCAACAGGUGAAAGUGGACCUGUAACAGGAAAAGAAUCACCCGAGCCUGCACCCGUGUCUGCACUAGCACCAGGGAAGAGUCAAGUGGCGAAGCCUCCUGGUUGUCAUUUUGGUUACAAAAAUAGGUUUCCCCGAAAACCCAAUGAGGGUUAUCAUAUGAGACCUACGGCAUCUCCGGUUUAUGCACCAAGUGUUACUCCUUCACAACCACCUCAGCAAUUUGAUCCACCGAUACCUGAUGUACCUCCAGUUCCUGCUACAAGCCCAUCAUCAAAUGUAGCUUAUAAUCAUAAUCACCCCCCAUCAAAGAGUGAUCAUGCAGGGCCUCCAGAUAAACUGCCAUUAGUUUCACCUGCACUCUCUCCAUGUGAGUAAUUGUUUCUUUGGAUGUUAAGACAAGUAUGUCUCUAUUCCGUGUGGGCAAUAGUUUUAAUAAUGUGGUGAUUGUUUCUUUUCGCUCUUUUGAACCAUUACAUUUCUUUUGCAGCCUCUGCAGGUACCUUUUCCUCCAGUUUAUGGGCUUUUCCGCUGUUCCUACUCUUCACGCAUUUGUGGCAGCAGAGAAUGUGAAGCGUUUUUGUUGUGGCAAUUCGAAAACAGUGAAACUUGUCCCUGUAAUAUCAUCUCACCCGAAUUAAACAGAGGAACAGGAGGAAUUUUGCAAGUGAGAGCAGUGCCAAAAGGGCGCAACUCACAAGUGGUUAAGAAACUAUAUUACUGUUUUGGGCAUGUAAAUAUUUGUUUGUAUUAUCGACGGCUAAAUGCAUUCGGGUCAAAGUCACAGAGGUGACGGGCCUGUGAUGACAUGUUACGCCGCCUUAUUGUGUAUGAUAUCACUUCUACAUAAAUUCGAGGGAAAAUUGUAAUACAUCACUCUGUUUUGUUGAUGUUCUCUUGUAAGUCCCAUGAUUAUUGAUACCAACAAGGGCGAAGUACGAUCACGAUAUAUAGGCCCCAAGUAACUGCACAACAAAAUAGGGUCUGACUCUUAGGAUAGCAGAUCAUCUAGGUGGAUCGUUGUGGUCUGUAGUACAAUUUUUGAUGUUAAGGAUUUUCAGAAGAGACAAUAGCAGAGCAUAUCGAUAUAACUACUCUCGAUUUAACUGAACAUUGUUAAAGGAAGGUGUAAUCAAAUUUAACUUAAUUGUUCGGUGAGGGCAUCCGUAGAACUUGUUAUACAUGUACCUGUGAAAAUUGGAUUUAGACGUAAAUAAGUGACCAUAUGAAUUGAAUUCAAGACAUUCAUUUAGUUCGAUACUAUGUUGAACCACUUCAUCAAUUAAAAUAUAUAAACCUUUUUAUUUAAAAUCUAUCUUCGACAAUUUGAUCAACUGGUUGGCCGGAUGCAGAUGAAACCAAUAUGCUCAAUUUAUACAAAUUGGAUAUUUGGCUUGUUGACAUUUGCACGUGCUCCGGUUUAAGCAUGUACUUUGAUUCAUUUAAGCCACAUCUUUGUCACUUCACUAACGAAGGGUUCGAGUGGAACAGAACAAACGAUGUCGAGCUAAGAGCACCUUCAUUCCUAUUUUGUUGGUUGGUUAAUUGGGCACAUUAACGUACCAAAUAAAUUUGGCGAAUAUUUGUGGAUUGCAAGUUUCUUUUCUUUUUAUUCCCAAUAUUCUAUGUCCGAGAAUACACUGAAAAAUACUUGAGAAUAGACCAUUGAAAAGUAAUAUCAAGAUUCCAAAGAGCAAGAAACACAAAAUUCUAAAUUGGCCAUAAAUCACAAAAACUUUGAUUCCUUUCCUCAUUUGAUAAAUGACCUAAUGGUCUGGUCCUUGUGCAAAUAUGCAAAACAAAGACCUUUUUUUUGGGCAAUAGAGAAGGGAUGCACGACUCUUUAUCAACUUGAACGCAAAAGUUGUUAGACAGAAUAUAUAAAAUCAUAUUUAGUAAAUGAAGAAUAUAAAGAAAAUUAUUACAAUAAGAGUGUGUUUGAUUGACAAGGAAAAUAUCACCUAGAAAAGAAAAUAUUUUCCAUCUUUUGUGGAAAAUAAAAACCACCUCUACCCAAGGAAAAUAUUUUCCUUAAAAACAAGGAAAAUUAGGCAUAUUUUCAAAAGUUGGAAAAUGUUUUCCAUGGAAAAAAAUAGCAAUCAAACACUUCAAGUAGGAAUUUGGGUGGAAAACUGAUAUUUUCCAUGGAAAAUAAAUGUAAUCAAACACACCCUAAUAGAUUACGGAAUUGCAAAUAAAAUUAUCUCAAUGAUAAAUUUAUGGAGAUCGAAUUACAAGAUUCGAUCCCUCACUUAAGUGUUCAAACUUCAAAGUUUAUUUAAAAUAUGUCUAUCAGGAUACAAUAGCGAAACCAAUAUCAAGUAGAGCACCAAGCUUUUGCACGACAAAUUGAAUUUUGCGUGAACACUACUAAGGGACCAAACUUUGAAUCCACAAUUGUGCCUGCAAGACUUGCUUGCAGACAAGUUGAAUGUCCUGAGAUGCAACUCCCCUUGCACACGAAUGAGAGAGCAUCUAUGCUAUAUAAGCUUACACCUUCAUAAAAUGUAGUCAUUUAUAAUCGAGUAUUUGCCUAAUCAUUUUAAAAAUGUGGGAUAAACUUCUGUAACUUUCCCUUCAAUAUUUUUCAACUUCAAUGGGUGCUCUUGAACUUUAAUUUUUUAUUCACCCAAGCGUCAUUUUGAGCAUGCAAAUAUAUACUUUCGAAGUUCUUAUUUUGGAGAACACAAAUUUACUUUAAUCUUCCUAAAAAAAUGAAAUGGGCCGCACUCAAAAUUAUGCCAAAAUACGUUAAUUUCGAACAAUCUACUACAUGAAUGAAAAUUGAUAGAGACCACGGAAAAUACAAAGAGAAAGUGAUAAAGUUCAAUGGUCAAAACUUGCAUAGAUAAUUAUGUAUUAUACUUUGGAUGUACCUCUAUGAAAGUAUAUUUAUUUUACUAGUUGAUUAGUAGACAUGAUAUUUAUCGUUGAGCAUGUUUCCUCAUGUUUCCAUUUACCAUGUGACGAGUAAAAUAAAAUAUAUUACUUUCAAUUAAACAAUAUUAUGAAAGUAGGGUAGUGACUUAGGACUCGUUAGAUAUGACUUUUACUUUUGCUUUCCCUUCCUAUAGAAGACUUUUUGUAGAAAGCUAGCUUAAUUUUUGUUUGAAAACUAAUUUUUAAAAAUAUUUUCUAUUUUAUAAGUGUUUUUAGAGCAAUUCACGUCGAACCUUUUUCUCUUGAAGUUAUUCAAAAUAAAAGAAAUAUUUUCAUAAAUUAGUCAAACUGAUCCAAAAGUUGCAUUUGAAAUUUCCGAAUUUUCAAAAAUCAUGUCAAACGAUCUUUAAUUAGAUAAUAUUUUCGAUAUUGUCUCUGAUUUGGACAAAGAUUUUAGUAAACAGUAAUUUCCAUUUAAGGUGGAAACCAUAAAAUCCAAGAAAACAGAUAAUGUCAUCAACAUAUUUCCACUUUAUUAUCGCUACAGACAACAGUUGAUCUGCACAAGUUAAUUCAAAUCCAAACCCUAAAAAGAAAUGAAUGUUUUCUCUCACUCCACCCUUUAACCCCUCACCAAAAAUUCCCUACUUUAUUUUUUUCUCUUUAUAGAGAGACAAGAAAUAUAAUAGAAAGGGAAAGAAACGACAGCCAUGGACUCUCUCUCACCAAAAUACACCAGCAAUGGAGCCUAGAAAGAAAACCCAAAAGGGCAAAAACAAGAAUAAUCCACAUUGCUGAAAUUUACUACAAUGGGGAAGGCAGAGGAUGAGCAACCUUUGCCUAGUACGACUCUUAAUACUCAGAGCGCAACUCCGAAUGCAGGGAACAGUAAUGGGUGCUGCUUGGGUUGCAGUAGACUACUUAGAAAGGUUGUGACUUUCAGAUGUAUAUUUGUUUUGGUGCUCGGUGUUGCAGUACUUCUAUCUGCUGUUUUUUGGCUUCCAUUCUUACGUUUAGGGGGUGAGAAGCAUCUGGAUCUGGAUUAUCCAGGUUGGUAUGACUAUAUUUCAUAUCCCAAUUUUUAUAAUAGAUUUGGAUAGUUAAUAUGGCACAUGAAGAUCUGUGUAUAUGUUUUGUGAUGCUAGUAAAUUAUGUUUGUGCAGGUCAUAUCUGGGUUUUUGUCUCGGGUUUGAUAUAUUGUUGGAUUUGGGAUUUUUGGGGUGCUUGUUUGGGGGAUUGAAUUUUUGAAUUUUUAUGAGUGAUUGAAUGCUUUCUUAUUUUUAGGGUUACUGAACAAUUUGAGUUGUUUUUUCUCUUAAAGAUUUUGGUCAUAGUAAAUAACAAAUCGAAAACCUAUGAGCUACAUUCUGGAUUACAUCAUACAUGUAAUUGGGCAUUUUAGUGUUGUAUACUAUUUGUCGAUGGGAUUAGAUCUCUUUUCUUACCCUCUGGCUCUUCAUUUUGUUUGUUGAUUGGAUUCCUCUUUGAUUAAUGGAAAUGUAAAUUUAAAAUUUCACUGUUCUUGAUGAGGUCAGAUUUUACCAUUGGAAUGUGUAAAUUCAGUGUCGUGUAGGAAACUUCUGUUAUUUUCUGAAUCACCCAAAACUGAAAGUUUGCUACGUGGUUGUGACUGAUGUUAUGUUUUUGAGUUUUCAUUUCCAAUUUACAGGAUUAAUUUUGUAGAGCUGUAGGUUCUUGAGUUGAUAGAUUAAAAAUAGUUUUGAUUGUUAUUGGAGGUUUCCAGGCAUAAUUAGCGUGUUUAAUUAACUUUUGAUUGAUAGAUUAUAUCCAAGGAUUUUCAGAAUUUUACCACAGCUGCUGGAGAUACAAGUUCUUGCAAUGCAAGCUUCAGUAACUUGGUGCUGUAGCAUUUAAUUGUUUUUAGCCAUUCAAAGAUAUUGUAGAAAGAAUUAUAAUAUCAUUUUGUUUUCUUGCACUUGAACAACCUAAUUUUUUUGUUACUUUAUUUCAGUCAAGUACUCACUUCCACCUUAUGCCAUGCUUGAACGUUAAGAGUUACAAGAUGCAAUGUGGCAUGCAACAGUACUUCAUAUGACACAAUAGAACUGAAAAGACCAAUCUUCUUGAACUGAAAUGUUGUAAUAGGAUUCAAACAUAUUAUCACUGAGCUAUGUCUAAGAAAGAUUAGAAAAUGUAAUAAGAAAUGGAGAAAAAGAAUCUCCUUCUAAGACUACUAACGUACAUUUUAGGACAGAACACGAAAGCUUUCAUUCUUGAAAUUAUAGUUAUGGCAGCUGUAUUAAUGAAAUUAACUUUGUAAAAACUCAACUGUCAUUCUAGAUUAGACUAAACUGCUAUUUGGUUUGGAUAAAAAUUAGAUUUUUAGUAUAUUUUGAUAAAAGUUGGUGAAAUAUUGCAUUUGUGGUUGAAAAUUUGAUAAUGUUGAGGGUCCCAUAAAAUGCAUGGUUAAAAAUGAUUUAGGAAAAAAAAUGAGUUUUAUCAAAUAAGGGCUAAAUUGAUCGAAGAAAAGGUUAUAUUAUUUGUUGGGGGUAAUACACCCAUAAUGUGCAUAUUAUAUUCAAAAGAGACGUACCGAUUUCCAACAUUAUUUACCUAUUACUAAACACCCACCGUCAAAUAUGACAUGAAUGAGGUAAGGUAUACAUAAACAAAGCAGAAAAUCCUAACAAAAGGGAUUGGAAUGUACGUCAUACUUCACUUGCUUGAUCCUCUUUGCAAUCAUGAGAUAAAAGGAAGGUUCAAUAGUUCAUGAUACUCAUUUAUUAGAAUCUGCACAAUGAGAUACGAAGUGAUGAGGUAAGAUGCACCUAAAUGUGGAGAAGUCUAAUACGUAAAGGCGGUUGGACUCUACAUCACAUUCAUGUGUUCGGUUCUCAAUAAUUUUGUAUACUUGGUGGUUAGAAAGCUUUGGCCCUUUUUAAGUGCUUAUGUGGCUAUCUUAAACUGGUAAAUCAUUCAUUUUUGAUGUUGGAAUUAUAAAGCUUCAACAUAAUUGCAUUUAUUCAAAAGGUUUUGUUUGCAUCCAUAUGACUUGCUCCACAAGAUGAAUAAAUAGCAAUUUAACUUCUUUUUGUCUAAUGGUGGGGCACAAAUACCAUCAUUUACUGAAUUUUGAAUAUCAAAGUUGAGGGUUUAAAGACAUUUUACGCUCUUCCCUAUAUCUCACUUGCUUUGAUUUCCAGGAUUUAUCUUUUUUCUCGUCAUUUUGAACCUUUUUUUGUGCUUACAUGGUAUGUUACGACGCUUCUACCAUUGUCUCUUUGUGAUAUAAUUAGUAAAUACCAAGUGAAUAGUGAGUAUUCUCUCUUGUAUAAUUAUUGUUUUGUAUAAAGCCUUAUUACUUCUUCAUUUAUUAUGAACAUCUCUCUACUAUAUUACUUCUAAGUUUUAUGACUGCAUUUGUUUGGCAAAAUUUAUAAAUCAUUUAUAAAUUGUCAAACUUCAUUUCAAUCACAUAUUUUAAUGGAUCUACAAGUACUCUCCACUUAUUCAUUAUUUAUUUCUAUCUAUUUAUAAAUUAAACCAUUUAUAAAUUCUUCCAAAAUGGAGGCUAUUAUAUUUCCAUAAAAGCCCUGUUAGCCAUUCUAGCCUAUUUUGUGAUGUAGUUGGGAUGGCAGGGUAGAAAAAAAUUUUGAUUGGCCAAUAUAUGAUGAAGCCCCAGUUUCUUGAAGGAAAAUUAAGAGAAAGACUUGAAUAGGCGCCUACUCAUUUGCACACUCUUAAAGUUCUUGAAAGAAUUAAAACCAUAUAAGUUGAAAAAAUUAGAUAAUUUCAGGGAUGCAGUAGAGGCCAUGUUAAUAAGCUCUUAAAAACUCGACUUACAAAUAACUACUUGCCAAAAGCCUACCCAUCAAUAUAUGGUAAGACAUGAGGGCUUAAAUACCACCAAAAUGAGCUUCAGAUUCAUUACAAAAGCUCAUAAGAAAAUCCUAGAAUUCAUAAAAUAAUCGCAAUAGGUGAAAUGCGUAAUAUAAUUUUCUUAUUUUUUCAUGGAUCAAUUAUUGACUGGAUUGGAGAAAACUUGCUCUGGAGUUUUGACUUUCCACAGUUAUUAGAUUGUCCUAGAGUUUUGACUUCCGAUGAUUAUUAGGUUGUCCUAUCUACCAUUUCCAUUGUUUUUGCUUGUUCUUCCAUCUUGUAAAAUCAGAUUUUCCAUGUAACGAAGCUAUUUUGUUUGCGAUAAAUUUCUGUGUAAAUUAUCCAUGUAGUGUAUCUUAAAUAGUGAAGCCUGUGUGUGUACUUUUCAAUAUGUCUUUCAAUCUAAUCAGAUUAUAUGCUUGUUCAAUCGACUUGAAUUAAAAUAAGGGGGAAAAACUCUCUACAAUCAAGAUUGAACCCGAGAAAAAUUAAACACUAUUACUAUUGAAUAAUGACGAGUUAAUGUACCAAAAAAUACGUCAGCUGGAACUACUAAGAAAUACGAUCUGAGAUACCUUAAAAUAACUUGGAAAAGGAAACAAAAUACCCUAUUGCAUACUUUCCGUUCUCCCAAGAAGUGUGCAUAUAAGCUAUAUUACUUGUCAUUUAUAUAGAUUGGCAUGAACCACAAAACUAACAUCCCUGCAUUCUGAAGAUACCUUUCCCCCUUCAGUUCACUAUAUAUUCCCAUAUCUAUUUCUCAAGCAUAUGCACGUAUCUUACAAUUUGUGCUUGUUACUUAUUAGAAUUAAUUUUCAUGCCUAAUAAUGAGUCAUAUUGAACAACUGCUGGAUUCACUUUAUCUGUUAAUUGGGGACUAUUAUCUACUCAUAGUUCAGUUCUUUAGGUAUUUCAAUUUAUUUUUCUUAGUGUACAAAAAGAUGGGUAGGUCAAGGAUUAUGACUCAUUUGCAGAGUUGGCUGAUGAAUGUCAAACCAGAGAGAGCGCUGUGGAUUCUUUUAAUACAUGAUUUUUGGGGAAUUAUAAAAACUUGAAGUAAUGCAAGAUUUUAGGCUAUAAAUUCGAUCACGCUAGUGGGCAGUUGUAAUAUGAGCAUGGAAGUCAAGGUAGGCCACAAAUGGGCGUUUAGCUGAAUUUCCAACCACUGCUUAUGGUAGUUAGAUGGUUCAAAAGUUUGUUAUUUUCGGAUUGUAAUUUGUGAAUACUUUGUGCUGAAGACUAAAUGAUAUACAUGAGAUUUUCUGUACCAGCUUGAGCUUUUAGAUUAAGUGGUUCUACACACGGCUAUUUUAUUUAUCAUUAAUUAGGCUCAAUAAGGCUAGACAAGAUUUAAAUGAUAUAUAUGUGACUUUAUCUAACAACUUUAGCUUUUAGAUAAAGUGGUUUUACACAUGACUAUUUUAUUUAUCAUUAAUUAGAAUCAACAAGGCUACUUCUAUUUAAGAUCGUCUUUAUGAAUUCUGUGUUGCAAAUGCGGAAGGUUUCGGAAACAUAGUAUAAUCUGGACCACUGGCUCAUCUCAUUUUGGGCAUUUGGCCUCUUUGACAUUUUUGUUUGAUAUUCUCAGGUCAUGAUAUAGUGGCAAGUUUUAUGAUUAAGAAGCCAUCUUCUUUUCUCGACAACUAUGUCAUACAACUCGAGAAUGAUAUUUUUGCAUUAAUAAGUUUCCCCACAACAAAAGUACGGACAGUUCUCUCUCUCUUUCUCUCAUCCAGUUUUAACUUUGUUGCUGUUUUUUAUUAUUUGUAUUGAUUCUUGCUCUCUCGGUAAUGUAAUCUUCUAUGACAGGUGGAAAUAAUAAAAUUCACACCAGCUGGAUCAAACACGACGAAUGUAGUGUUUGCUGUUGAAUCUGAUGUAACAACCCGCAGUUUAAUAAGAGCUUCUUUUGUCUCCAUGGUUAUACAUCCAUCGUACCUGCAUUUGACUCCAUCCUUGUUUGGGGAUCCUUUUUCUUUCGAGGUGCUCAAAUUUAAAGGAGGGAUUACUGCUAGUCCUAAUCAGAAGGCAUUCCUUUUGCAGAAAGUUCAGAUCCGUUUCAACUUCACUUUGAACUUUUCCAUCGAUGAAUUACUGAAUAAUUUCUAUGAACUUACCAGCCAACUGAAGUCAGGCUUACAUCUUGCUACUUAUGAGGUCCGAUAAUGUUAAUUCUUUUUCUUUUUCACCAUGAAGAUUAUUGUUUUAUCGUCAAGUGAAGCAUAUGUGUGCUUUCUAUCUUUUAUUUACUGAGUCAUGUUUGGUCAAACUUGAAGUUACGUAAACUUUAAAGAUAUGCAAAAUCUUCUCUGGAAAUGUGAUUAAAUUCAUGAACAUCACUAAUUUUGAAACUAUGUAUGUGUGAUUGAUGAUAUUUCCUUUGAGUUUGUGAUGAUUCUGUACAACUAAUAAUCUUCUUUGGCUUGUUUUCUGCAAUGCAGAACUUGUACCUUAGCCUGACAAAUCUGAAAGGUUCAACAAUGGUUCCACCCACUACGGUUGACACGCAAGUUGUUUUGGCAGUGGGACUUAAUCCCUCGAAAUCCAGGUUAAAGCAGUUGGCUAAAACCAUCACCAAUUCUCAUACCAAAAAUCUUGGACUAAAUAACACUGUAUUUGGUCGGGUUAAGCAAGUUCGUCUUUCAUCUAUGUCCAUCAAUGUUACCUCACCAUCACCAUCACCGUCUCCGUCUCCAUAUCCUCUGCCCCCAUCCCACCACCAUCACCACCAUCACCACCGACACCAUCACGAUCCUAGUCGUGCUCCUGGUAUUUCACCUGCACCAUCAACAGGUGAAAGUGGACCUGUAACUGGAAAAGAAUCACCCGAGCCUGCACCCGUGCCUGCACCAGCACCAGCACUAGCACCAGGGAAGAGUCAAGUGGCGAAGCCUCCUGGUUGUCAUUUUGGUUACAAAAAUAGGUUUCCCCGAAAACCCAAUGAGGGUU